GGAAGGGAGGAAGCGUAGAAGGUGCCGAUGCACUUUUCCUCUCUCCAGCCCUCCUGACUGCUCCAAGAAUUUCAUCGAACAAGACUCAAAGAGGCCCAGCUGCUCUGCGUUUUGAUUCUUCUCCCUCUCUCAGUCCACACUGACCUGGGAGGGGCUUCUCAAACACCACAUUUCCUAGCAUGCUGUGAGAAGAGGACUGUGAGCUAAGAAGGGAGAAAAGAUGGAGUCUCUCACUCCAUCCCCCAGGCACUGGACUGCAGUAGCACGAUCUUGACUCACUGCAACCUCCGCCUCCUGGGUUCAAGCGAUUCUCCUGCCUCAGCCUCCCGAGUAGCUGGGACUACAGGCACUCCCUCCUCAUCAACAAACACCUGACCUGGGUAGACCCUCUGCUUACCAAGAUCCAGUCCACCUUUUGACAUCAGCAUUCAUGCUGCCUCUUUUUACGAACCAAGCCAAAGUGGUCCCUUCCUCUGGAAAUUAUAGGAUACUUAAUGUACAUCAUAUCCAGCUUCCCGACUCCAGACUGUGGGAGAUGACACAGAGCCAGCCUGCCUGGAUGUGACUCAGCUCUGCAACUUAUUAAAGACCUUUGGCAAAU
rnacentral:antisense_RNA from 1 species